rnacentral:lncRNA from 10 species
AAGUUACCACUUCCCAACUUAUCCUAUGAGAGUCACCACAGCCACCCUCCAUUGCAGAGAAUUGCCCCACACAUCUGCUGCGCACCCAUGGACUCGUGACGAUGACUGAGGUUUUGUGGAAGACGUUGACCCGCACAACAGGUCCAUACUUCUUAGCCCUGGAAACCAAAGUGACCCGAAGGAAACUGUCAACCACCUGAGGUAUGACCAUCACCAACCCCGCCCAGCUGAGAAACCGAUGUUUCCCGUCCCAGAAGGUGCUCAAUGCAUGCUACCAAAAGAGUGCUGUCCUGGGGCCCAGGAGCCCUGGGGGCAAGGCUCUGCCCUGUUGCUCACUUGCCGAGUCAUGUCCCCCAGCAGGCCUCAGUUUCCACAGCCAUGGAAUAGGGUUGGAAACACUCCUUCUUUGAUUGUCCCAAAAGGUUGUCCUGGGAAUCAAAUGAUUCGCAUCUUUGAAAGUACUUUGAAAAAUGUAAAAAAGUGACACACCAAA